ACGUUUUAGAGUCUAUUUGUUAUUGUACCUUCAU
rnacentral:sRNA from 1 species